GUCAUCAUAGCUCAAUAGGACAGAGUAUCAGCUUGCGGAGCUGAGGGUUACAGGUUCGAUUCCUGUUGGUGACG
rfam:Mycoplasma genitalium G37, complete genome.